rnacentral:rRNA from 1 species
AUUGAACGCUGGCGGCAGGCUUAACACAUGCAAGUCGAGCGGAGUGAUGGUGCUUGCACUAUUACUUAGCGGCGGACGGGUGAGUAAUGCUUAGGAAUCUGCCAUUUAGUGGGGGACAACAUUCCGAAAGGAAUGCUAAUACCGCAUACGUCCUACGGGAGAAAGCAGGGGAUCUUCGGACCUUGCGCUAAAUGAUGAGCCUAAGUCGGAUUAGCUAGUUGGUGGGGUAAAGGCCUACCAAGGCGACGAUCUGUAGCGGGUCUGAGAGGAUGAUCCGCCACACUGGGACUGAGACACGGCCCAGACUCCUACGGGAGGCAGCAGUGGGGAAUAUUGGACAAUGGGCGGAAGCCUGAUCCAGCCAUGCCGCAUGUGUGAAGAAGGCCUUUCGGUUGUAAAGCACUUUAAGCGAGGAGGAGGCUCUCCUAGUUAAUACCUAGGAAGAGUGGACGUUACUCGCAGAAUAAGCACCAGCUAACUCUGUGCCAGCAGCCGCAGUAAGAC